rnacentral:rRNA from 1 species
GAUGAACGCUGGCGGCGUGCCUAAUACAUGCAAGUCGAGCGAACAGACGAGGAGCUUGCUCCUCUGACGUUAGCGGCGGACGGGUGAGUAACACGUGGAUAACCUACCUAUAAGACUGGGAUAACUUCGGGAAACCGGAGCUAAUACCGGAUAAUAUAUUGAACCGCAUGGUUCAAUAGUGAAAGACGGUUUUGCUGUCACUUAUAGAUGGAUCCGCGCCGCGUUGGCUAGUUGGUAAGGUAACGGCUUACCAAGGCAACGAUGCGUAGCCGACCUGAGAGGGGAAUAGGCAACCUGGAACUUAAGAAACGGUCCAGCCCCCUACGGGGGCCACAGGCGGGGAAAUUACGGCAUGGGGCGAAAGCCUGAAGGGGAAAGGCAGCGUGAGGAAGGAGGAUCUUGGGUUCGUAAAACCCUGUAGUGGGGGAAGAAGAAAUGUGUAGUAAAUUAUGCGCGUAUGAAGGUAACCAAAUCAGAAACCCCCGGCUACCGCCAU